UUUUUUUUAAUUUCUCAGUUAAUAGUUUUCUCUAGCCUGCUUUUGAACUUAAAUUUCCACGACUUUAAAAGUUUUCUCUGUUUCAUCAAGUGUCUCCCAGGUCUAAUACUCAAAGACAUUGUAUCGAGCAAUUGGUGUGCAAGACUCUUGUCUUGGACACAUGUCCAAGCAAUUUGAGAUGGUAAAUUCUUCUUAAUAUCCAGGAACUCUCUGCAAAUUCUAAGGCUAGGUUCCAAAUUAGAGUCUGUUACCUGAAACUCUUCAAUCUGAGGCGAGACGUGAUCAUAAAUCGACUCCUUCACUGAGCUUGGGUCGAUCUCUAGAAUCAUUGAACUUGUAGUACUCAACUCGGCUACACAAAGCGAAUCUGUUGCCAAAAUCGCGAAGAACAAUUCUUCCACGUAUCAAAUCCAGCAAACAAUUUAUGCCUAAAAGCAGUCCAGUCCAUGAAUUGCCACACCAUAAGGCCGCCACUCAGACUGCACCAGCGACCCAGACGAGGAGCGGGAAUCAAAAUUGAGACACGGCGGCAGACCGCAGAGAAUCAGCCUCGGAUUGCGCCACCUUAAUUAACCUUCUAGCUCCACCACGCAGGACAGGAACAGCUAGGAGAUGAGACCAUCGGCGAAAAGCACCAUCCGAAGUGAGCAAUAAACUCUCGGUAAAGAGAACAGCAGACCCGUCCAAACACCUCAACGAAGCCACAACCCCUGCCGGAGAGGAGACCCAUCGCGUGAGUAGACCGACUAAAGAGUAGCCGCCGGAAACCAUAUCCGGUUCAAACCUUCCUCGAAGAAAGACGAAGGAGACGCGCGUUGACCCACACGCCAGUCUUCUUAAACGCUCUCGACUCAGCCU
rnacentral:lncRNA from 1 species